UCUCUCUCUCUCUCUCUCUCUCUCUCUCUCUCUCUCUCUCUCUUUCUUCAUCUUCUUCUUCCUUACUGCUAUAUUUCACAUCCUUCUCAUAGUUUUUUUUUUGUAACCAAGCCAUACUAGUUACAAAGAAAAGAUCAAACACACCUAUGUUGAUGUAUGCUUGGCUAAUGGGUUUUUUCAAUUUGAAGUCUGAUGAGAAGAACCCAAUAAUGAAUUUGGAUAAUUGAUCUUGUCUUGCACUUAAAGUGAAGAAGAAGAAAAUGGAGGUAAGGUUGGAUAAUAGAUUUUCUAGUUUCUUCAUCCAUUUUUUCAAGUUUGUGUUGAACAAAUUGGAGCCCUAAUAAUAUGUCAAGGAUGAACAAAGGGACUUGAAUCAAAAUGCAUCGAUCCUAAUAUUGCAUAAAUUGUAUCGCAUCGGGAAUAACCGAGGUUCGAGAACCCUUCUGUGGCUGUGAGGUUUCUUUGAUUUGAGGAACAUAGGAUGAAUCUGGGAUGAAAGCAAGAACACGAUCAUAGGAUGAAUUCCCUCCCCUCUGUGUUCUUUUCACUUUAUUACUCCCAUCCAUUCUUUCUGGUAGCAACUUAUCCACUCCACCGGAUGGAUAAAUCUCAAUUCAGAGAACAUGUAUAAGAAUGUUAAAUUUUCUUUUCUUUUAGCAAGAAGAGAAAAUCUUUAUUGCCUCAACAAUUUGUUUAAUGAAUGAAAACUCAUCAAGAAAUGCAACUCGUUUGAUUUUGUAGAAGAUCGUGAAGCAUGUCUAAACACCAGGAAGAGCUUAAAGAAUAUGAAGAAAGGUCUCAAAGGUGAAGAUUCUAGUUCAAGAGGUGAUGCAGAAUACUCUGUUAGUCAUCAUCAUUCAUCAAGACCCAAAACAACCAAUUUUUGAAAGAAACAAGAAAAAUGUUUACAGGUGGAGCUCGACACAUGGACCUCACAGCAGGUGGGAGGCUUUUUGGCGAGCAAGGGUGGUUUUACUGUGCAGUAAAGGUGAAUCUAUGGUGGAGAUGGUGAAAUUUGGUGGUUCUGGGUUUUCUUGGGAAUGUGUGUGUAUGUGAUAUAUAUAUAUAUAUAUAUAUAUAUAUAUAUAUAUAUAUAUAUAUAUAUAU
rnacentral:lncRNA from 1 species